rnacentral:misc_RNA from 1 species
AAGCCAGUGCGCAUGUGUCUCU